GCUGGGAGAAGAGAAAUGAACUCGUAGUGUUUACAACAGCAUGCAUAAGACAGAUGACAUCCAGCACGGAUGGGGAGGUGGACACAAAGCCCUACCCCCAGCUAAGAAGCUAUUGGCAAUUGAUAGCUACUGGGAGAGAUCAUAACGGAAGGCCUGGAAAAUACACCUCCAGGGAUCUGCAGAGAUGGCUUACUGGUUGAGAGUGCUUGCUGCCCCUGCAGAGUAUCAGAGUCUGGUUCCCAGCACCCAAGCAGGGUGACUCACAGUGACCUGUCGCCCUCUUCUGGCCUCUUCAGGUUCUUCCGCUGUUAAUGCAACUGGGUAUGGAUUUGAUGCUGAGGAAUCUGGCUGUUUUCCGAACCGUACAGACGGGCAAG